GAUGAACGCUGACAGAAUGCUUAACACAUGCAAGUCAACUUGAACUUCGGUUUGGGUGGCGGACGGGUGAGUAACGCGUAAAGAACUUGCCUCACAGAUAGGGACAACAUUUGGAAACGAAUGCUAAUACCUGAUAUUAUGAUUUUAGGGCAUCCUAGAAUUAUGAAAGCUAUAUGCGCUGUGAGAGAGCUUUGCGUCCCAUUAGCUAGUUGGAGAGGUAACGGCUCACCAAGGCGAUGAUGGGUAGCCGGCCUGAGAGGGUGAUCGGCCACAAGGGGACUGAGACACGGCCCUUACUCCUACGGGAGGCAGCAGUGGGGAAUAUUGGACAAUGGACCAAGAGUCUGAUCCAGCAAUUCUGUGUGCACCAUGAAGUUUUUCGGGAAUGAAAAGUGCUUUCAUCUGGGAAGAACCCAUGACGGUCCCAACUAAAGAAAUGACGGGUAUGUACGUGCCUCAGGGGCGGUAAUACUUUUUUCCCCAAGCUUUUCUCCAGAUUUUUCGGCGCGUCGUC
rnacentral:rRNA from 1 species